rnacentral:rRNA from 1 species
GCAGUAGCCGCGGUAAUACGAAGGGUGCAAGCGUUACUCGGAAUUACUGGGCGUAAAGCGUGCGUAGGUGGUGGUUUAAGUCCGUUGUGAAAGCCCUGGGCUCAACCUGGGAAUUGCAGUGGAUACUGGGUCACUAGAGUGUGGUAGAGGAUAGUGGAAUUUCCGGUGUAGCAGUGAAAUGCGUAGAGAUCGGAAGGAACAUCUGUGGCGAAGGCGACUAUCUGGGCCAACACUGACACUGAGGCACGAAAGCGUGGGGAGCAAACAGGAUUAGAUACCCGAGUAGUCCCUGUCUCUUAUAC